AGAGAUUCUUGCUUACACAUGGGGAGGACCCGAAAAGCUCUCUGGAGUUUAGGUGGGAAGUUUCCCAAAGGAGUGGCCAGGGGUGGAGUGAAGUGACCCUGUCGGGAGGGAUGGGCUCAAACAUCAAGAUACAAAGUGAAUCAGAUUCAGAGGAAGCAUAUCUGGACAGUGAUACAAUACUGGAGGGACAGAAGAGCCCCUGGGUUGAUGCUCAACUGAAAACAGACCAUGGUUGUGUCAGCCAGAGAUGUUACCAGCCUGGGUGGAGCACCAGCAGGGUCUCAGGCGAGCUAGACAGAAUGCCAGCGAUAACCCUCCUACCCCCGGGUCACAUCUGUAGACUGACAAAGAGGCCUGCAAAGAUGUCUGGCUGCUCUCCUGCACUGUACCUCAGAAGAAGCCUUGGGUGAGUAUCCUGGAAACACUCCUCUCUUGAAGUUCCAGCCCGGAGUGAACAGAUUUAGUUUCCUGCUUUCUGGGAAUUACCUAGAUACCUCAGGACCCCCCAACUAGUUAACACAAUUCUUGCCUUCACACCAGUGCAAGCUCCCAACUGUGCCAGGGAUAGGAGAUGUCACCAGAUGUAUGGAUCCAAGGGCAUCAUUUUCUAGCCUGGGAUCAUUAUCUUGCUUUGAGAAUUCUUCAAAAAAGAGAUGUUCUCACAGUUGGCAAUUUCUCUUGAGUUUAUUUACUUAUUCUGGGUCUGUAUGGGAGGUAGAAAUAUCUUUCCUCAAAACCACAUGUGGGCUCAGCAUUGUCUUGUUAGAGAUUCCAGCCAGCUUGUUUUUCCCCAGCAGCGUGUGGUGGGCAGAAUGAGAGGUGGCACAGCGGCGGCCUCUUCUGCCAGCGCUCAGCUGGUCCCGGGUCUGCUGGGU
rnacentral:lncRNA from 1 species